UACGGAGGAUGCAAGCGUUAUCCGGAUUCAUUGGGUUUAAAGGGUGCGCAGGCGGAAUAAUAAGUCAGUGGUGAAAGCCUACAGCUUAACUGUAGAACUGCCAUUGAUACUGUCAUUCUUGAGUAUUGUUGAGGUAGGCGGAAUGUGUCAUGUAGCGGUGAAAUGCUUAGAUAUGACACAGAACACCGGUCGCGAAGGCAGCUUACCAAGCAAUAACUGACGCUCAUGCACGAAAGCGUGGGGAUCAAACAGG
rnacentral:rRNA from 1 species